GGUGGGUUUUUAGAAGGAACUGGAGGAGGUCGAUAGGAUGGAGCCCUCCUCUGCCGCUUGUCAGCUAGUGAUCGCUAGCACAGACGGUUCACCGGAUCCUCUCCUGCCAGAAACUCGAGGCCCCGAGGACGAGGCAUGGGACAGGUGGUUCCAGCGCAUCCGCAGCUCCCGUGGUCACAAAUGGUAUUCUUUCAAGCGGAAAAUGUGAGGAGGUGGCCGAUCCCUAGCUGGCGACGGAAGCAGCCUGAGGAAGAGCCGGAGUUUAUCGCAAGCUCCGAACGUGGCCUUCGGUGAGAUUAGCCAGUGUUCAUAUUUUUUGGGUUAUUUUUGCUUGUUCCACAUUGUGUAAUCUAGCCCUUUCAAUGUAAAACUAUGAAUGAGCAUGUCUUUAGGUAUCUUCGUUGCCAAUGUUUUGUGGGUAUUAUAUACGCCGAUGAUUAGAGUCGUUGGGUCUCAUUCUAUUUAAUCUAGAUCAACAUUUUGA